GACGUAGGGCGCGAGCGUUGUCCGGAUUUAUUGGGCGUAAAGAGCUCGUAGGCGGCUUGUCGCGUCGACUGUGAAAUCCCGCGGCUCAACCGCGGGUCUGCAGUCGAUACGGGCAGGCUAGAGUUCGGUAGGGGAGACUGGAAUUCCUGGUGUAGCGGUGAAAUGCGCAGAUAUCAGGAGGAACACCGGUGGCGAAGGCGGCAUCCUGGACCGAGAUUGACGCUGAGGCGCGAAAGCCAGGGGAGCAAACGGG
rnacentral:rRNA from 1 species